UGGUACAAUUGGUUUCUGAGGGAAGACAAAGGUAGUUAGAUAAUAAAUUCAAGGACUUUGUUGCAAGGUUGAAAUGGUGUAAUAGUUCUAACUCCUCUAUCCUUGAAUUCUUGCUUCAUUACUCUCUUUUCUAAUGUGAUAUGUGGCAUUAGAAUCAUUUUCAAUAUUUGGCUGAAUACCUAGAACACUAUGCAAUUUGUUAUAACAGUGAGGCUGGAGAACUUUAUUCAAAGAAGCUUGCCAAGUUUGUUGGAAAGCGUCUCAAAUCAGAAUGGGCUGCUUCUAUAUGGACUAGUACACUGCAACGAACAAUUCUGACAGCCACUCCAAUUAUUGGAUUUCCCAAGAUACAAUGGCGUGCACUUGAUGAGAUAAACGCAGGGGUGUGUGAUGGUAUGGCAUAUGCAGAAAUCAAGAAAAACAUGCCAGAGGAGUAUGA